rnacentral:tRNA from 2 species
CCUUCGAUAGCUCAGUUGGUAGAGCGGUGGACUGUAGAUUCGCGAUAUGUUGAAAUCCAUAGGUCGCUGGUUCAAAUCCGGCUCGAAGGAUAU